UAUUGCACAAUGGGGGGAACCCUGAUGCAGCGACGCCGCGUGGGCGAGGAAGUAUUUCGGUAUGUAAAGCCCUAUCGGCAGGGAAGAAGAAAUGACGGUACCUGAAUAAGAAGCACCGGCUAAAUACGUGCCAGCAGCCGCGGUAAUACGUAUGGUGCAAGCGUUAUCCGGAUUUACUGGGCGUAAAGGGAGCGCAGGCGGCGCGCCAAGUCUGAUGUGAAACCCCGGGGCUCAACCCCGGGCAUGCAUUGGAAACUGGCGGGCUGGAGUGCCGGAGAGGUAAGCGGAAUUCCAAGUGUAGCGGUGAAAUGCGCAGAUAUUAGGAGGAACACCAGUGGCGAAGGCGGCUUACUGGACGGCAACUGACGCUGAGGCUCGAAAGCGUGGGGAGCAAACAGG
rnacentral:rRNA from 1 species